CCUACGGGAGGCAGCAGUAGGGAAUCUUCCGCAAUGGACGAAAGCCUGAUGCAGCAACGCCGCGUGCGGGAUGAAGGCUUUCGGAUCUGUAAAGUUCUGUUGUUAGGAAAGAACAAGUUCAGGGUGUAUCCCCUGGCGCCUUGACGGUACUGUCCAGUAGCG
rnacentral:rRNA from 1 species